rnacentral:lncRNA from 1 species
CUCCCUGGCAGCAUAUGGAGGUUCUCAGGCUAGGGGUCGAAUCAGAGCUACAGCUGCCAGCCCAUAUCACAGCCACAGCAAUGCCAGAUCCAAGCCACGUCUGCGACCUACACCACAGCUUACGGCAAUGCCAGAUCUCCAACCCAAUGAGCGAGGCCAUGGAUCGAACCCGCAACCUCACAGUUCCUAGUCAGAUUCGUUUCAGCUGCGCCAAGACGGGAACUCCACAGUGCUGUAUCCUUAACCCACUGCACCACCAGUUUCUGACGUCCAACCAAGUGGUUCAGUUACUAUAUUUUUUUUCUUUUUACAGUUGCAGCUGUGGCACAAGGACGUUCCUGGGCUAGGGGUCAAAUUGGAACUACAGCUGCCAGCCUACACCACAGCCACAGCACCACUGGAUCCAAGCCACAUCUGUGACCUACACUGCAGCUGGCAGCAAUGCCUGAUCCUUAACCGACUGAGUGAGGCCAGGGAUCAAACCCACACCCUGCGGACACUGUUAGGUUCUCAGCCCACCGAGCCACAGCAGGAACUCCAAAGUGGUUCAGCCAUACAGAUUCUUUUCCAUCAUGGUCUAUUACAGGAUAUUGAGUAUAGUUCCCUGUACUACACAGGAGGACUUUGUUGUUUACCUAUUUUAUACAUAGUAGGUUGUAUCUGCUAAAUGUAUUCUAAUUUAUCCUUCCCCCUUUGGUAAUUAUAAGUUUGUUUUCUAUGUCUGUGAGUCUGCUUCUGUUUUGUAAAUAAGUUCAUUUGAAUCACUUUUUAGGAUUCCACAUAUAGUGAUAGCAUACGGUAUUUGUCUUUCUCUGUCUAGCUUACCUCACUCCGUAUGAUCUUCUCUAGGUCCAUCCAUGUUGCUGCAAACAGCACUAUUUCAUCCUUUUUUAAGGCUGAGUCAUUAAACUUCCAUUUCAGGGUCGGUUUCCCAGGACCACUUCCAGUACCAAAUGCUUUGGACUGAGAUCGCUGUGAACAGGCGCUGAGGCAGAGGGUUGUGUGUUGAAAGUUUGUCAGGGAGUGUUUCCAGGGGACACACCUGUCUAGAAGCAAGGAUGGCAGGAAUGGCGGAGGGAGAAUCUGGGAAAACUGUCACUGUGGUGAGCUGGGGUGGGUGGGAACCAGCGACAGGGGACAUGCUCCGGGAGUUGUAUUUCUGGCACUAGGGAGGUGAGAGGGCUAACAGCAACAAGAAGACAAUGGCACUGAUGCUGCAGAACACCGGCGAUGUGGUGGAAAGAGCAAACAGGCCCCGGAUGAGAUAAGGAGUCGGGCUCUCAUUCUGUGGCGUGGAUUGGGGCAGACACGUUGACAGGCUGGAGCGGCAGUGGCUGCUUCCCGAUUAUGCUGGCUGCCCCCUAGACCAGGACAGUGGCACUGAGCUGCAGCCAGCAGCUCUCCUGGCAGUUCGGGUCAGCAGUGUGGCUUUGGUACUGGUUCUGGAAGCUCAGGCCAGCUUCAUUUUCUCAACCCUCGCAAGGAUUCUGCAGUUGAACACUGGGCAAUUCCAACCACGUCUGUCUGAUUUCAAAAGCCAAGUUCUGUCCUCAACACCAUGUGGUGACUGGGAGAACUGAGCUUUCCUACCCAGAAUGAACUAAAUAAAAGGGAGCACACAUGGCUGGAGAAGAGGGCCGUGGGUAAGGAAAGGAGGCAGUGCAAAAAAUAAAAGCAGCUAUUUGGAGGUAAAAUACCAGGGCUCAAGUCCCUAACUCUACACCAUAUGAGCUGUGUGAUGUCCGGCAAGCUACUCAACCUCUCUGUGCUCGGUUUAGGAGUGAGCUCUCAGAAUCUCCCGCUCCUGACUCCAAUCUUUGGUUCUGUUUGAUGGAGAGUGAAGUUGCUUCUUGCCUCAUGUUUGCAAAACGGCUUUUCACAGCUCUGGCCACGGUGUCCUCCCCUAACUGUGUCAAGACAGGAAGAAAAGACAGACAGUGGGUGGGAAAGAGGGCUCUUUAAUUCACAGGCAGCUGUCUCCAGAUACGCUUCAGCAAAUGUGUCCUCAAGUCUCCUUGGUCAGGACCAGGGACAUGGUCACUGGCAGUUUUGUUGGAGUCGGAAGAGACCACGCUUACCACUAUCUUGGAGCUUUUUUUGGGCAGUCUCUCUCCUUAGAAUGUUCUUCCUCCAGAGGUGUUUUUUGGUUUUUUUUUUUUCUUUUUUUUUUUUUUUUUGUCGUUUUAGGGCUGCACCUGCAGCAUAUGAAAGUUCCCAGGCUAGGGGUCCAAUCAGAGCUGCAGCUGCUGGCCUACACCACAGCCACAGCAAUGCCAGAUC